rnacentral:lncRNA from 1 species
UGUCGCAUCCUGCGAAAAAUCAACCGGCGAGCCUAAAAAUAAAAAACACACAGAGCCGCCACUAAACGUUAUUUAUCCCAAGAUAGGGAAAGGAAACGCUCAGAGAAACCUGGAAAGACACGGUCUCGCGACCAGAGAGAAAAGGUUCGGGAGUCGGUUACGCGAGGGGAAGGUAUUAGCACCCCUCACGUCCGUCGUACUCGACGGGAUCCACGUCCUAGAAUAAAGAAAAGGUUGCUAAACAUCACACACACACACGGGGAACGCAGGUGGGGUUAGGAGAAACGGGCUCGAUAAGGCGUCGCACCUUAUGCCUACAUAUCUUGUCUGGAACAAGAAUCAGAGCCUCUGUAGUUCGGCUUACGCACGCCAAACAACACAAAACAACACAAACAAGGGUGGCAAACAUGGAGCCCGACAACCACUGGAUGGAAUUACGUCGGCAUCCGAACCAAAACGCACUCAAAAGGGCAAACAUGGAGCCCGACAGCCAAUCCUGGACUUACGUCAGCAUCCGAACCCAAACAAUCAAUAGCAUACAACAAACAAACAUAC